UAGGGAAUAUUGGGCAAUGGCCGAGAGGCUGACCCAGCCAUGCCGCGUGCAGGAAGAAGGCCUUCUGGGUUGUAAACUGCUUUUAUCAGGGAAGAAAACGCUCCUGCGGGGGUAACUGACGGUACCUGAUGAAUAAGCACCGGCUAACUCCGUGCCAGCAGCCGCGGUAAUACGGAGGGUGCAAGCGUUGUCCGGAUUUAUUGGGUUUAAAGGGUGCGUAGGCGGCCCGUUAAGUCAGCGGUGAAAUCCCACGGCUCAACCGUGGAACUGCCGUUGAUACUGGCGGGCUUGAGUUCGGUCGAGGCGGGCGGAACUGGUGGUGUAGCGGUGAAAUGCAUAGAUACCACCAAGAACCCCGAUUGCGUAGGCAGCUCGCUGGGCCGAAACUGACGCGGAGGCACGAAAGCGUGGGGAGCGAACAGG
rnacentral:rRNA from 1 species